rnacentral:lncRNA from 1 species
AAAAGAACGUGCGUAACCUUAGCGACAAUAUCAGUAGACAGCGGUGUACGAGUCAAAGUUCUCGAGUUUUAUAUUUUCCUGCUUUAAAACAUUCGUGAGAACAGUGUGUUACAGUAUUAAUCUUUCUUAGUCGUAAUUAAGCGCUAAAGAAAAAAAAAUGUCUUCAUCUGUCAACAAGCCACAGGGAAUUAGCCACCACGAGAUGAAGUCGUUUGGAUUCGGGUUCAAAGCUUUCAAGAAAUUUCCUGAGAUCCUUCCUCUGGUGACCAUUCUUGGGGCUGCAUGUCUUGGAACAAUAGGCUUUGCCUUCUAUUCAUUGUAUCAAAAAUCAGACGUUGUGUACGUAGUGAACUGUUUAAAAAAUGUAUAGAGUUAGGUUAUUUUAGACUAUUUUAACACACAGAGGUUGAGUAUGUUAUAUCAAAACAACUUUGAAGCCUUAUCAAGUCGUUGCUGUCCAUGAUGACGCGUCCGGUCGAGCACUGUCUGAUGGUUAUGCAUCUUGACAAUAGACAUGCAUCGCUGUUUCCAUUGCAAAACGCUUCAUCUGUCCUGUCAAAAGCACACAACUCUCACUUCAUGUUCUCCAUAGAUAAUCUGUGUACGAGGACCACGGUUUUUCCAGCGCCCAUUUCAACAGUCCGACCCCACAGAAAUCCAUAGACGCUGAAUUUGGUGACUUGAUCCAUAUGUCUUUGUUUGAAAUUACUUGAAUGCUCGUUUUAUUUUCACUUUCAUCAAGUCUAUGACAGUUGAACGGAUACAUCAUGGAAACAGCUUGCACAAGUGACUUGUUUCACUUUUCCAGACAGAGAUUCUUCUUGAUUGUAUUUAAUACUGUUGUCUUGGUCACAUGAACAUCUUUUGUCACUGGCCUUUCUGCCCGUGGAUUCAUACCUGUUACAAGAUUCUACAUUUUUUUACCACGACUCAAGUAUAACUUGUUGCAGGUCUCUUUCUGGAUGGUCUUGAUGCACCAAGUUGAUCCGUAUUCCUUUGUUUUCUAAUGGAUUUAAGCACAAAGGAUAUUCUAAUAUUCUAUUGUAUUCUUGAUAUUGAUAUUCUAUUGUAAAUUCUAAACCUCCGAUCUGCAUCUAUCUGUAUGAUCUGAAUGUAUGAAUAUUUUGCAUCCGAAAUGAGUAUUUGAAUAUCCAUUCUAAAAGCGAUUAUUUUUUUCAUUAACAAGAAACUACUUAUGUAAGGCCAAACAAUUUCAAAAUGUAGUUCUGAUACAUGUCGUUCCAUCGCGACUUUAUAAUGGCUGUGGUUGUCACGUAACCUGCUGAUUUGCAUGUUCAAAAUUGUAAUAACAUACUCAAUCCUUUGUAGAAGUAUUGCUGUAAUCAUUUAUCAUAAUCGUGAAAUUUGUUUGUGACUGAAAAAAAAUAGAAUUUAUAGCUGCAUACAAAAUACCAUGUAUUACUUUAUAUCAUGGUGAGAUAUUUGCACAUCCACACUAUAGCUUGUAGUUCAUGUGCAUCACGUGCUUUUCGGCACGCUCACCACUUGGUCUAAGCGAACAGAUGUUGUAUAUCGAUUAUUUUAAUACCUGGCAGGGCCUUCUCUACAAGUUUUACGUUCAUACAUAGAACAUGGUUAGCUGUUUCAUGUUCCAAAUAAAGUAAUGACUGGUAAAUGGUGGCUUAGUAAUCUACCUGUUUCAUAACCUCAUCAACAAAUAGGCUCCAUUGUCGUAAAGUUUAGUUUUGAACAUUAUAAUGAGAAAACUAAUAUACGUCCUAAAUAGUACGUAUAAUAAAAGUUUUUCUUAUCUUUUGUUUCUCAUUUUUAACCGUUAUUUAAUGACCAGUUUUCCUCUACAUAUAUACAUAUGUUUAUUUUUGGACCAUACACUUCUAAUUGUUAUGCACAAUACUAAAUUACCAAAGUAUAGGAUGAUACUGUGACUGAGAAAAAUAAGUAGGUUGUAGGAAACAGUGUUAUAUUGUAACUAAGAAAUUAAGGGGGUAGUAGGGAGUAGGUGUUAUCGUGUGACUGAAAAAAUGGGAAGACAAGAGGUAAUAGUUGUUAUCGUGUGACCGAAAAGAUAAGGGAGUAGUAGAGAAUGUGCGUUAUCGUGUGACUGAGAAAGUAAGAAGGUAGAAGGGAGUGUGUGGCUUCACUGGAUUACCUCCUACUUCUACAAAGUAAACAACAAAUAAGCAUCAGGAUCACAUAGAAUAAAAGUAUUCAAAUUCGGUGACGAGGAACCCACUUUGAGACUAAUAAU